UAAACCUGUGGUUCCCGAAAGUUCGAACGGGGAGAUUCAAUUGCCUCGCCGGUUAUGACCAUUUAACAGUGAUGUGUUUAUAUAUAUAUUAGAGACAUUAUAUGGCGGUUGCGGGUUUAUUCUCGUAUCUGUUCCUGUAUAGUGCUCCACUGUUUUAUGAUAUAUUGUUUAUAGCCGGAGGCGUGCACUUCUCCCCUUGUAGGACGUCGUGACCCAUUGGAUUAUGUUGUCUAAGGCUUAUAAUGGAGACCGUGGCAUUAAGUUUCGGCUUUAAUGACCCGGACUUAUAGUGUCCCGACAUCUAUCCGAUGGUAUAAUUAUGAUGAUAGAUCGCUAUAAAUGCGUACGAGCGUUCAGAUCCAUAACAAAUUCUUUAUAUGGUUAUAUUAGUGGAAAUCGGAUAUAAUGCCGAUUCUACACAUAUGGGAUUGUUAGUUAUGGUAUUCUCGAACAGUUCUUUAUCAUCAGUCAACGGCGUUUAUGUUUUGGGUAAUUACAGGACCCGUCUUGAAACACGGACCAAGGAGUCUAGCAUGUGCGCAAGUCAUUGGGACUUUGUGAAACCUAAAGGCGUAAUGAAAGUGAAAUAUUUGUGAAUUUUCGUAAUUCACUGAAUUUAAGGGAAGAUGGGUAACGUUUUUUAUGUUACCUCGCAUUCCCGGGGCGUCGCGUACUUAUUGCAAGUUGCGGCGCACCAAGAGCGUACACGCUGGGACCCGAAAGAUGGUGAACUAUGCCUGGUCAGGAUGAAGUCAGGGGAAACCCUGAUGGAGGUCCGUAGCGAUUCUGACGUGCAAAUCGAUCGUAUGAACUGGGUAUAGGGGCGAAAG
rnacentral:rRNA from 1 species